rnacentral:rRNA from 1 species
UACCAGACUCCUACGGGAGGCAGCAGUGGGGAAUAUUGGACAAUGGGGGAAACCCUGAUCCAGCGACGCCGCGUGAGUGAAGAAGUAUUUCGGUACGUAAAGCUCUAUCAGCAGGAAAGAAAAUGACGGUACCUGACUAAGAAGCCCCGGCUAACUACGUGCCAGCAGCCGCGGUAAUACGGAGGAUGCGAGCGUUAUCCGGAUUUAUUGGGUUUAAAGGGUGCGCAGGCGGCGAGUUAAGUCAGCGGUAAAAUUUCGGGGCUCAACCCCGACAAGCCGUUGAAACUGGCUUGCUAGAGUGGGCGAGAAGUAUGCGGAAUGCGUGGUGUAGCGGUGAAAUGCAUAGAUAUCGCGCAGAACUCCGAUUGCGAAGGCAGCGCACCGGCGCCCAACUGACGCUCAUGCACGAAAGCGUGGGUAUCGAACAGGAUUAGAUACCCGAGUAC